UGACGUCAUCAGAUCGUCUCCUCGUUAUGCCGUCCCGCGCUCCGCCCCCUUACUGGCAAACUAUGGCUUAGUGUUAAGGUUUCUCAUCACUAUAUGCACAGUAUACUGCAUCUUCCGGAUCAUGUGAUCUCCUACAUGAAUAGUGAUUACCGACUGAAGACGCCGUCUGCAGAGGAAGGACAUUUCUUCAGAUGUUCCCCGUUAUGAGAAGCCACCAUAUAGGCCCUCUUUGUUGAACAGUGUGAAUGGAGAGACCGCCUCCCCAUGUUGGAACUCCGGAUUGCCCAGGAACGUCAGGAACAAGGACUUGUGCCCACCUAAAUUCCUAGCGCGUCUAAGAAUAUGCCAUAAUUUAUAUAUCGUCCAUAGAAGUGGGUUGUCUUUCAAUUCCUGAUCGAAUUCCGCUUCCACCCCGUGAAGGAAAGAUAUUAGGUUCCUGGACCCUACAAAUUGUGCCUCCAGCUGUGUAUUAGCAUAAGUAUUACUAUUAUGUAACCAGUCUUUUAAAAAUCUCAAUAAAGAAGCAUGGUUAUAUUUCUGAA